AGAAAAAGAGUCUCACAAAGCAAAAGUGCUGGGAGUACAUGGCAGUUGUCAGCACAGGUGGGAUGGCCAAGGGCUAUGGGGGCACAGAAGGAGGAGCAGGAAAGUCUCAAUAAAGGAGGUGACAGGUGAACCAGCUGCAAAGGAUGGAUAGACCCUUGCUUGUGAUGACAGGGGAAAGACAUUCCUACAGAAGACAUAAGCAGAGACUUUGAAAUAUAGCAUGGAUUAAUAGGGUCUUAGGAAACAGAGUAUGCUUCUUUUAACUUACUUUAAGGAUAGAACAUAAAGGACAUUAUAAAAUGGUGCGUGGGGGUUGACUGGUUUGCUUAGGAUGAUGUUUGAAGUUUUUCCAUCUUUUUCAGUUCUAUCCUUAAAGGAUUUAUCACUAGUUUUAAUGUAGAAGUAUUAAAGCAGGUCUUUGAAAAAAAAAAUUUCAAGCAUAUUAAAUAGGCACCUCCUUUAAAAUGGGUGACUAAAAUUUCAAAACAAAACAAAAUCAACAUGAUAGAAAGAUUAUCCUGCUCCUGCCCCUUCCCCAUCUUUUGUCUGCUCCUUCUAUUCCCUUGAUUUUCAGGUUGUUGAUAGCACUUUAAAUUUUAUAAAACUUACAACAUAAGGAUACUUUCUUGAAAGAUGAUUGACAAGAAAUGGAAUAUGGGGCUUUCCACCUUAAAUAAAAUUUUAUGCUCCUUCAGAACUUGUUUAAACACUUCAUUCUGUUUUACAAAAAUCUUGGACUGGGCAUUUAGCCAAAAAUGUAUUUCCAUUUAUCUUCUGAACAAGGUACAUCACAGUGGAAAUUGAAUGUGGAUGUUUUAGGCUCAUUAGCUAUUUUUCCUCAGCUAUAACUAUUGCCUAUAUUAGAUGUCAGUUAAUCUUGACAAAUGGGAAACAAAGUACCUUUUAUUUUGAUAACUGAGAUAUGUUUAUGCCUCAACAGGGGAGUCUUUAAUAAGCUGGAUUCUGAGGGACUUUACUUCUUUUGUAUACCUCCCACCCAGCUGGAUACCCAUGUGUUGGGUGCACUGCAAAGAAGAGGAGGGAUAAUGACAGUGGCCAGUGUUUCUCCCACAGGGUCUGCUUCCUGGAGAACCCAAACUGUGGUGAAUACCUAAAUCUAAAUGGAGGUUUGGAAAAUGUCAACCACUGGACUUAAGAAAAGAAUCUACUUUACCUGUGUGGACAGGAAAGGACAGUAGUUCUAGGUAAGACAAAGAUUCCUCCAAACAUACCAGAAAUCAAUCAGGAUAAAAUACAAUCAACAAAAAUAAGAUAAAAAAAAAUGGACAUAGGAGUUCCCGUCGUGGCGCAGUGGUUAACGAAUCCGACUAGGAACCAUGAGGUUGCGGGUUCGGUCCCUGCCCUUGCUCAGUGGGUUAACNNAAAAAAAAAAAAAAAAAAUGGACAUAAAAUAAAUGGUAGGUAGAGACUGGAGAGCUGGUAGAC
rnacentral:lncRNA from 1 species